UGGGGAAUAUUGCGCAAUGGGCGAAAGCCUGACGCAGCAACGCCGCGUGCGGGAUGACGGCCUUCGGGUUGUAAACCGCUUUCAGCAGGGAAGAAGCCGCAAGGUGACGGUACCUGCAGAAGAAGCACCGGCUAACUACGUG
rnacentral:rRNA from 1 species